GAACACCAGAAAACAGAAUGCAAAUUCUUUUUCCAUUUGUAUAUAUGGGCUUUGGGGAGGGGUUCUUAACUCAAAAAUUUAAGAACACCAGUCUAGAAUGCCAGAAAGAAGAAAAGGUUGUCCCCCUCCCUGUCCUGCCCCUUUCAAAAUACUAUCUCUAAAUGCUAAUAGUAGUCUGAUACUUAAAUGUCUGGUAUAGAAACUUACAAAAUACCACAAUAAUUUAUGGAAGAAAACUUUCCUCAGCCUAAGAAACCCUGACAAUUACCCCGCGUGCUGGUGGCAUUUAAGAUCAGUGUGAUCCUAAGUACAGAGCCAUUUAGUGGCACCGAGUUCUGAAGAACACUUCACUAAUCAGCAACGUGGCCUCACAGAGCCCCGGUACUUGGUAAUCAAGGCCCUCACUCUCGCUCACUCAGGGCGGAAGAUCAGAGAGCUGGUGUUCUUAAUACAAAUGAUUUACUCAUUCUUUCAAAAUAUCAUCAGACUACAUGGUAAAUUAAGUUAAAAACAACACUACAGACUGUCACAAUAGUUUUGCACUUGCAAAAGGAUGUUUAUAAUUUCCAAGUUUGAGUUACACGUACUGUUUCAUUUGAUAGCCACUAGUAUCUGAGAUACGAGGUAUUCUGUGCACAUGCUAUAAUUCUCCUUUAGUAGACCAGGAAACCAGUGCUCAGUUAAGAAAACUUUCCCCAGAUCAGGAGACUGGACUAGACCUGGGUGAACCCGAACAUGGACUAGAACUAAGCCUUUUAAUUUCUAACAUCGCAUAUUAACACAGCCUCUCAUCAUUGCCAUGGGAAGAAAACAACGCAAAAAAUGCCAGAUUGGGGAAAAACAAUUGGAUAGCACUGUAGAAUCGGUUAUAACAAAGUAUGUCUUCUAUUCUGUACACUAAUACAUAUUUUGCAUAAGCCCCCAGCUUGCUCUAAAGCGCAUUCAUUUGAUUCAUCUAGUGCAUGAUGAUCACUGACCAGGCAUCAGGCACCAUGCUCAGUGCUGGGCUAGACAGUGAAUGAAGUCUUGCUUCAGAGCAGCCUACAUCCUUGGGGGAUAUAUGGAUUCCACUCAGUGGGUAAGGUCUUUGGAGGUAUAGCUAUGCUAUGAAAGAAUCUUUCCCCACGUGGCUACAAAAAGCCAUGACCACCAGAUUUAAAUAUAUGUUAUUACACACACACAGUACAGUGAGUAGCCUGACAGUUGCCUCUAUCUUGUCUGUAAACCAUGCCUGUUCAAUACAUCGGAAGAACAC